rnacentral:rRNA from 1 species
CCUACGGGAGGCAGCAGUGGGGGAUAUUGCACAAUGGGGGAAACCCUGAUGCAGCGACGCCGCGUGUGGGAAGACGGUCUUCUGGAUUGUAAACCACUGUCCCCAGGGACGAAAAUGACGGUACCUGGGGAGGAAGCUCCGGCUAACUACGUGCCAGCAGCCGAGGUAAUACGUAGGGAGCAAGCGUUGUCCGGAAUUACUGGGUGUAAAGGGAGCGUAGGCGGGGAUGCAAGUUGGGUGUCAAAACUACCGGCUCAACCGAUAGUCGCACUCAAAACUGCAACUCUUGAGUGAAGUAGAGGCAGGCGGAAUUCCGAGUGUAGCGGUGAAAUGCGUAGAUAUUAGGAGGAACACCAGUGGCGAAGGCGGCCUGCUGGGCUUUUACUGACGCUGAGGCUCGAAAGUGUGGGGAGCAAACAGGAUUAGAUACCCGGGUAGUC